rnacentral:rRNA from 1 species
GAAGGGGGUAGUCGAUGGGAACCACGUUAAUAUUCGUGGGCCUGGAGAUGUGUGACGGAUCGCGGAAGUUGUGAGUCCUUAUUGGAUUGGACUUGCAGCCAAGUGGUUCCAGGAAAUAGCCUCUCCAUAUAGACCGUACCCGAAACCGACACAGGUGGGCAGGUAGAGUAUACCAAGGCGCUUGAGAGAAGUAUCCUGAAGGAACUCGGCAAAUUGCCUCCGUACCUUCGGAAGAAGGAGGCCCCAUCUUAAGGCAACUUUUGGUGGGGGGCACAGGCCAGGGGGUAGCGACUGUUUAUCAAAAACACAGGACUCUGCUAAGUCGGCUUCAAGACGACGUAUAGGGUCUGACGCCUGCCCGGUGCUCGAAGGUUAAGAGGAGGAGUGCAAGCUCU